rnacentral:tRNA from 1 species
AUUAUUAAUUUCUAAUAUGGCAGAACUAUAUGCAAUGAACUUAAAAUUCAUUUAUAAAGAAUAAUCUUUUUUUAGAAA